rnacentral:pre_miRNA from 1 species
UGGAGGAAAACCACAGUGGCGGGGCCAGCUCUGGAGCCCUGGAGUCAGCUCCCGCAGUAACUCCAGAGAUCUCCGUCUGCAGGGGUUGGAGGCUCCGGGGCGGG